rnacentral:rRNA from 1 species
UACGGGGGGUGCGAGCGUUGUCCGGAAUCACUGGGCGUAAAGGGCGCGUAGGUGGUCUGAUAAGGGUGUGGUGAAAGCCCGGGGCUCAACCCCGGGUCGGCCGUGCCGACUGUUAGACUAGAGUACUGUAGGGGCAGGCGGAAUUCCGGGUGUAGCGGUGGAAUGCGCAGAUAUCAGGAGGAACACCGGUGGCGAAGGCGGAUCUCUGGGCCAUUACUGACGCUGAGGAGCGAAAGCGUGGGGAGCGAACAGG